rnacentral:rRNA from 1 species
GAACGCUGGCGGCAGACCUAUCACACGCAAGUGGAGCGGCAGCGGACAGUAGCUUGGUUCUUUGCCGGCGAGCGGCGGACGGGUGAGUAAUGUCUGGGAAACUGCCUGAUGGAGGGGGAUAACUACUGGAAACGGUAGCUAAUACCGCAUAACGUCGCAAGACCAAAGAGGGGGACCUUCGGGCCUCUUGCCAUCAGAUGUGCCCAGAUGGGAUUAGCUAGUAGGUGGGGUAACGGCUCACCUAGGCGACGAUCCCUAGCUGGUCUGAGAGGAUGACCAGCCACACUGGAACUGAGACACGGUCCAGACUCCUACGGGAGGCAGCAGUGGGGAAUAUUGCACAAUGGGCGCAAGCCUGAUGCAGCCAUGCCGCGUGUAUGAAGAAGGCCUUCGGGUUGUAAAGUACUUUCAGCGGGGAGGAAGGCGGUGAGGUUAAUAACCUCAUCGAUUGACGUUACCCGCAGAAGAAGCACCGGCUAACUCCGUGCCAGCAGCCGCGGUAAUACGGAGGGUGCAAGCGUUAAUCGGAAUUACUGGGCGUAAAGCGCACGCAGGCGGUCUGUCAAGUCGGAUGUGAAAUCCCCGGGCUCAACCUGGGAACUGCAUUCGAAACUGGCAGGCUAGAGUCUUGUAGAGGGGGGUAGAAUUCCAGGUGUAGCGGUGAAAUGCGUAGAGAUCUGGAGGAAUACCGGUGGCGAAGGCGGCCCCCUGGACAAAGACUGACGCUCAGGUGCGAAAGCGUGGGGAGCAAACAGGAUUAGAUACCCUGGUAGUCCACGCCGUAAACGAUGUCGACUUGGAGGUUGUGCCCUUGAGGCGUGGCUUCCGGAGCUAACGCGUUAAGUCGACCGCCUGGGGAGUACGGCCGCAAGGUUAAAACUCAAAUGAAUUGACGGGGGCCCGCACAAGCGGUGGAGCAUGUGGUUUAAUUCGAUGCAACGCGAAGAACCUUACCUACUCUUGACAUCCAGAGAACUUUCCAGAGAUGGAUUGGUGCCUUCGGGAACUCUGAGACAGGUGCUGCAUGGCUGUCGUCAGCUCGUGUUGUGAAAUGUUGGGUUAAGUCCCGCAACGAGCGCAACCCUUAUCCUUUGUUGCCAGCGGUUCGGCCGGGAACUCAAAGGAGACUGCCAGUGAUAAACUGGAGGAAGGUGGGGAUGACGUCAAGUCAUCAUGGCCCUUACGAGUAGGGCUACACACGUGCUACAAUGGCGCAUACAAAGAGAAGCGACCUCGCGAGAGCAAGCGGACCUCAUAAAGUGCGUCGUAGUCCGGAUUGGAGUCUGCAACUCGACUCCAUGAAGUCGGAAUCGCUAGUAAUCGUAGAUCAGAAUGCUACGGUGAAUACGUUCCCGGGCCUUGUACACACCGCCCGUCACACCAUGGGAGUGGGUUGCAAAAGAAGUAGGUAGCUUAACCUUCGGGAGGGCGCUUACCACUUUGUGAUUCAUGACUGGGGUG